GGGGACUGAUAAUAAAAACCCCCUGUGAUUUGCGCGCGCAUCAAGUUAUUCUCAGUAUACUGAAGCCUAGCACGAUCGAACAAACUAAGUUCAGUCCCGAAUUGACAUCGAUCUGAGUCAGUCGACAGUUAAACUAUAAAUUUAUAAUUAACAUAAUAAUAUUUUUUUAUUAAAUUUACUUACAACUUUUACUUUAAAUAAUUUAAUGAUUAUUUAUUUAUAAUUGAAAGUCUUUAGAUUUUAUAAUUUGCGUUAUUAAUUAAUACAAUAAUGAAAUUGAACAUAAUAAUUACUAGUGCUAAUAAAACUUCAAGGGAUUUGAUCGAAAUAAUAAAUAAAAAAAAUUCUUACAAUCAGUUUGCCACUUGUAUAUCUGUCAAAGGAAAAAGUGGCAACGCUGGAGUUUAAUUGUCAGUAAGAAGAGAUUUAAUGAAUCAUUGAGUUCACUGCGGCGUUGUCGGAUCUCGGAUCUACGUUUGUCUCAGGUACGAUGUAUAGUUUAAAAUGAUGCUGAAAAAUAGUUAUGACUGAUUAUGUUAGCAGGUAUAAGAACGCCAGAGCUUCUGGCCACACAGAAGCCCCAACCUUUUCGGUGUCUUAAAGAAAAGUAAAAAAAUUAUUUAUAUAAUUAUUUUACUAAUUUUCAGACUAACGUCACAGGAUUAAAGGCGUAAAGAUUAGUUUGAAAAAAAAAGUACUUGAUGUUUUUUUUUAUAGAUGUAAUACAGAGUUACGACCGGAAACUAUUUGUAUUUUUAUAAAAUUUAAAAUUAAUUAUUAAAGAAUAAAAGAUAUUAAUAAAAUUUA